AAAUCAAAAGAAAAAAAAAAAAGAAAGGAAAAGGUCGAACAAGGUACACUUUAGGUACACUUUCUAGAAAGAUACUUUUCAUACCGCCCUCGCUAGCAUAGCUCGAAGAAAUUGGUGGAAUGCAGGAGAUCCAGAAGAUCAUCCGAUUGCACAGUUAUGUUAAAGCUUAAAGCUCAGCUUAGGCAUGCAAUAGGUACAGGCGAAUAGACUUUAUUCAUGUGAAAUCAUUCCCCUGCAUAGUUUCACUUACGGCACACGUAUAUAUAGAUUUUCGUGAUUUUCGCAAUCGCAGAGUGAAUGGUGAAGACACGUGGAGUUACAUAACUUCCAAUUUUUCACUAUUAUCUAAUCAUCCGCUGUUUAUAUGGAUUAAUAAAUCCGAAGAGUGGCGUUAGCUGAACUACCCGAGGGAAAAGUGAAAAUAAAGUGAAAUUCUUGAAAGAAGCAAAGGUACGUUAGUCCACCGUGGAAAGAUAAGGUUCUGACACAGUUUUAUUUAGGGAUAGGAGUACUGGAAAAUCUUAAUACAGCCAAGCCGGCCAACCAAUCUACGGUAUCAACUACUAAAACAACCAAGCUGACCGUUUGGGAGUUAGUGCAGUGCACAUCCACGGCGGCAAAGUGAAGGCUGAACCGUUGACGUUGGGCUAGCUCAAUAUCGGAAAUCAUUUACGGCUCGUGAAAGACCAACCACCAUACACCACUGCUGGACGUCCGAAUUUCAGUUUGAACCUGCCGAUCUCAUAAAAAAAGCCGGAGGACAUAAUCGUCACCAACCUACGAAAACUUACAAAGGAUUGAUGCAUACAAAUGAAUCCGUCAAAGUCAUCUUGGGCCCAACGAUACACCGAUGAGUUUAACCAAUUACUGUGAGUACCACUAGUGGCUGAAACCACAAUGUCUAUACACCAAUGCAGGCGUAAGUUUGUUGAAGUAGAUAUAUAUAUACUGAUUUGAAAGAAUAUUACCCCCCUCAAAUGCUCAAAUAAUUAAGUUUUUUUUUGCUGAUCCAAGAAGAAGGAAGUCUGUAUAUUUUUGUUUAUUUGUAAAUGUAAGGAAUCGGAUUAUAUCUGUAAUUAAUGUAAAAAAAAUAUAUAUAUCAAUACAAUCUCACAUGGUUAGGGACAUUUAACAUAAAAAUAAAAGGAAUUUGUAAUCAUGAAUAUGUCUGCCUAAACUAAAUAUUAUCUCCGUCCGUCAAGUACUUAUGCUUAUCUCCCUCAAAAUGCACUAGAAGAUGUUGGAUCUUUGAAUUGGGACAACGCCCGAAUGUAAACGCGUUUGUCAUGGUUGGGUGGGUAAAGACUAGGGACAUAUAUCACCGCUGUUCCCUCCAUCAGACAGAAGACGAACUACACUUUUUCUAAGCGUUUUCUAAAUGCGUAUCGGCGCAGAGUGGAAAUAAGUUUUUGUUAUUGGUUAUUGAUAUUAACGUCGAGAUCCUGCUUAUUUUUUUUUUUUGAAGCGCAUUAUAUUGAUUUGUGUCAGGAAAACUGUGUAGCUAGGGGAGAAAGAACCCCGACCAAUCCGACGAGCUGGACCCGAGCACA